CCUACGGGGGGCUGCAGUGGGGAAUAUUGGACAAUGGGGGGAACCCUGAUCCAGCCAUGCCGCGUGUGUGAAGAAGGCCCUCGGGUUGUAAAGCACUUUCAGUGAGGAAGAACGCCUGGUGGUUAAUACCCAUCAGGAAAGACAUCACUCACAGAAGAAGCACCGGCUAACUCCGUGCCAGCAGCCGCGGUAAUACGGAGGGUGCGAGCGUUAAUCGGAAUUACUGGGCGUAAAGCGCGCGUAGGUGGCUUGAUAAGCCGGUUGUGAAAGCCCCGGGCUCAACCUGGGAACGGCAUCCGGAACUUUCAAGCUAGAGUGCAGGAGAGGAAGGUAGAAUUCCCGGUGUAGCGGUGAAAUGCGUAGAGAUCGGGAGGAAUACCAGUGGCGAAGGCGGCCUUCUGGACUGACACUGACACUGAGGUGCGAAAGCGUGGGUAGCAAACAGGAUUAGAUACCCUAGUAGUC
rnacentral:rRNA from 1 species